rnacentral:lncRNA from 1 species
UGACGCAAAUUGAUUGAGUUGCAUAGAAGAAUAGAAAAUAUAUUUUGGGUGUUCUGAUCAGUCAACAUAUAGAGCCUGCAAAUAUCUGUUUAGGUUACAAUGGAACACCAGAACUAAAAUUAAAUUUGUUUCAAUACCACUGAAUUGGUGUUCCCUAACACAAUAUCUAGAAAUAAUAUAUUACAGACAAACCAACCAUAAUUAGCAUCAACAACAACAGCAUGCAGCAACCUUGUGAUAACAUUCCUCAAACUUCAUCUUUAGCUAUCUUAGCUUUUUUGUUUGCAGAAUCCUUCUGUUGCUCAAUAAAUUCUGGGAUGGUGUCUUGCAUAAUCUUUGGGGAUGAAAAAUCAAAAUCCGCAGCAGAUACACCACUGGGUUGUGGAUGGUCUUUAAGAUAUGCUGCUAUCUCAUUGCGGGUUCUCAGUUUUUUACCUGUAGGUGUGAUGUAGUAAGAAUCCAAUUUAGAGUAAUCCUUUCUAAGCACCAAGAUUUUCUUGAAACCUUGUGGAGUCUUUGGAAUGUUAGGCUUGUCAAUGACCCAUGUCCGAGAAGAAUCAUAUUCGAUAUCAGCAGGAUCAUCACAGCUACGAUUAGCCUUUUUGCUACAAUCAAAAGGGUCUCGGAUGAUCUUAUGACGAAUCUCUUCAAACUCCUCCUGCGUAUCAAUCACUCUCCAUUUCAUGCAAAGUUUGCAUUGUGCAGCAUAGAUAUCAACUGAACCCUGGGUCAUCGCUGGUCUCUGUCACAAUAAUUCACCAUCAGUUUAUAAAGCAGCAGAAGUUCAGCUCUUAGACUAAACCCAAGAAAGACUUAAUAAUCCAUACUACGGAGAAAAAACAAAGUCCAGUGUUAAAAAGUGAUAAGCUCUGAAAAAAUAGUUUAUUAAGAGUGACACUGUACUACUUAUAAGCUGGUUUUGGGAUGAGUUAGACUCAAUACAAAAACCAAAUAUGGUACCACAGUCUAUCCAGUCAGGUCACCACAGAAUUAUCCGUGCAGAAUUUAACAUGGUAGUUCUCUUCCAACUCCCGCGCUUUUCAAAGCCCCUCUGAUUUGACCGGAUUAUCCAGACAUGCAAAAAAAAAAAAAAACUUAAACCCUCUUUUUACUCGUACCAUUUUGAAAUUCAGACAAAUCAAAGGGCUUUGAAAAGCAGAGAGGUUGGAAGAGAAACAAUUUAACAACAAAUAUGAAAACUUUCAUUCAAUUCAACAUUGAUUCUAUAAGCUUGCAUUUUUUCUUCUUGUUAUAUAAAGCUAUCAGCUUCCUUUUACUGCAGAUCUGAUGUUAACCACCCAUACUUAACAGCAACACAAAAAUUUAAACACAAACAAGGGUUGAUUGAUAGAGCAAAUUCCAUUCUAUGUUGGUUUAACAAAACAAUUCAGCCCAUUCAAAACAGAAAAUUAACACAUAACAUAAUCUUUUCUAGUUUCUCGUAAGAUCCAGGUUAAAGACAAAUCUGCACAAAAAAAAAAAAAAAAAAAAAAAAUUCUCUUACGCUCUAGGGUUUGGAAUCAAAUUGAAAAGCACAUGUAAUUAACGGAUCUAAAUCCCUUCGAUUCAAUUAACAAGUAACUAUAAACCCCAAAACGAAAAAAGAACAUCAUCUCAGAAGAGUUAACAAGAAUAGAUCAAGAAAAAUAGUUGAAAAUUAAGGAAGACAAAACCCUAAAAAAAAAUAUAUAAAAAAAAAAGGAGAAAUCGAGUUUUGAAAAGAAUAGGCAGUAACGGUACCUUGCUAGAAGAAGAUGGAGUUUUGGAGGCCGACAUUGAUUCAGCAAACAAAUUUCUCUCUCGCUCUGACUGAGACAGUGUUUAGAG